GGGUUGUGAGGUUAAGCGACUAAGCGUACACGGUGGAUGCCCUGGCAGUCAGAGGCGAUGAAGGACGUGCUAAUCUGCGAAAAGCGUCGGUAAGGUGAUAUGAACCGUUAUAGCCGGCGAUGUCCGAAUGGGGAAACCCAGUGCAAUUCGUUGCACUAUCGUUAACUGAAUACAUAGGUUAACGAGGCGAACCGGGGGAACUGAAACAUCUAAGUACCCCGAGGAAAAGAAAUCAACCGAGAUUCCCCCAGUAGCGGCGAGCGAACGGGGAGCAGCCCGGAGUCUGAAUCAGCUUGUGUGUUAGUGGAAGCGUCUGGAAAGUCGCAGGGUACAGGGUGAUACUCCCGUACACUAAAGCACACAGGUUGUGAACUCGAAGAGUAGGGCGGGACACGUGGUAUCCUGUCUGAAUAUGGGGGGACCAUCCUCCAAGGCUAAAUACUCCUGACUGACCGAUAGUGAACCAGUACCGUGAGGGAAAGGCGAAAAGAACCCCGGCGAGGGGAGUGAAAAAGAACCUGAAACCGUGUACGUACAAGCAGUAGGAGCCCACUUGUUGGGUGACUGCGUACCUUUUGUAUAAUGGGUCAGCGACUUAUAUUCUGUAGCAAGGUUAACCGUAUAGGGGAGCCGCAGGGAAACCGAGUCUUAACUGGGCGUUAAGUUGCAGGGUAUAGACCCGAAACCCGGUGAUCUAGCCAUGGGCAGGUUGAAGGUUGGGUAACACUAACUGGAGGACCGAACCGACUAAUGUUGAAAAAUUAGCGGAUGACUUGUGGCUGGGGGUGAAAGGCCAAUCAAACCGGGAGAUAGCUGGUUCUCCCCGAAAGCUAUUUAGGUAGCGCCUCGUGAAUUCAUCUUCGGGGGUAGAGCACUGUUUCGGCUAGGGGGUCAUCCCGACUUACCAACCCGAUGCAAACUACGAAUACCGAAGAAUGUUAUCACGGGAGACACACGGCGGGUGCUAACGUCCGUCGUGAAGAGGGAAACAACCCAGACCGCCAGCUAAGGUCCCAAAGUCAUGGUUAAGUGGGAAACGAUGUGGGAAGGCCCAGACAGCCAGGAUGUUGGCUUAGAAGCAGCCAUCAUUUAAAGAAAGCGUAAUAGCUCACUGGUCGAGUCGGCCUGCGCGGAAGAUGUAACGGGGCUAAACCAUGCACCGAAGCUGCGGCAGCGACACUAUGUGUUGUUGGGUAGGGGAGCGUUCUGUAAGCCGUUGAAGGUGGCCUGUGAGGGUUGCUGGAGGUAUCAGAAGUGCGAAUGCUGACAUAAGUAACGAUAAUGCGGGUGAAAAACCCGCACGCCGGAAGACCAAGGGUUCCUGUCCAACGUUAAUCGGGGCAGGGUGAGUCGACCCCUAAGGCGAGGCCGAAAGGCGUAGUCGAUGGGAAACAGGUUAAUAUUCCUGUACUCGGUGUUACUGCGAAGGGGGGACGGAGAAGGCUAUGUUGGCCGGGCGACGGUUGUCCCGGUUUAAGCAUGUAGGCGGAUGUUCCAGGUAAAUCCGGAACGUCACUAACGCUGAGGUGUGAUGACGAGGCACUACGGUGCUGAAGUGACAAAUGCCCUGCUUCCAGGAAAAGCCUCUAAGCAUCAGGUAACAUCAAAUCGUACCCCAAACCGACACAGGUGGUCAGGUAGAGAAUACCAAGGCGCUUGAGAGAACUCGGGUGAAGGAACUAGGCAAAAUGGUGCCGUAACUUCGGGAGAAGGCACGCUGAUGGUAGGUGAAGUGACUUGCUCAUGGAGCUGAAAUCAGUCGAAGAUACCAGCUGGCUGCAACUGUUUAUUAAAAACACAGCACUGUGCAAACACGAAAGUGGACGUAUACGGUGUGACGCCUGCCCGGUGCCGGAAGGUUAAUUGAUGGGGUUAUCCGUAAGGAGAAGCUCUUGAUCGAAGCCCCGGUAAACGGCGGCCGUAACUAUAACGGUCCUAAGGUAGCGAAAUUCCUUGUCGGGUAAGUUCCGACCUGCACGAAUGGCGUAAUGAUGGCCAGGCUGUCUCCACCCGAGACUCAGUGAAAUUGAACUCGCUGUGAAGAUGCAGUGUACCCGCGGCAAGACGGAAAGACCCCGUGAACCUUUACUAUAGCUUGACACUGAACACUGGUCCUUGAUGUGUAGGAUAGGUGGGAGGCUUUGAAGUGUGGACGCCAGUCUGCAUGGAGCCAUCCUUGAAAUACCACCCUUUAAUGGCUGGUGUUCUAACGUGGGCCCCUAAUCGGGGUUGCGGACAGUGUCUGGUGGGUAGUUUGACUGGGGCGGUCUCCUCCUAAAGAGUAACGGAGGAGCACGAAGGUCAGCUAAUCCUGGUCGGACAUCAGGAGGUUAGUGCAAUGGCAUAAGCUGGCUUGACUGCGAGCGUGACGGCGCGAGCAGGUGCGAAAGCAGGUCAUAGUGAUCCGGUGGUUCUGAAUGGAAGGGCCAUCGCUCAACGGAUAAAAGGUACUCCGGGGAUAACAGGCUGAUACCGCCCAAGAGUUCAUAUCGACGGCGGUGUUUGGCACCUCGAUGUCGGCUCAUCACAUCCUGGGGCUGAAGUAGGUCCCAAGGGUAUGGCUGUUCGCCAUUUAAAGUGGUACGCGAGCUGGGUUUAGAACGUCGUGAGACAGUUCGGUCCCUAUCUGCCGUGGGCGCUGGAGAAUUGAGGGGGGCUGCUCCUAGUACGAGAGGACCGGAGUGGACGCAUCACUGGUGUUCGGGUUGUCAUGCCAAUGGCAUUGCCCGGUAGCUAAAUGCGGAAGAGAUAAGUGCUGAAAGCAUCUAAGCACGAAACUUGCCCCGAGAUGAGUUCUCCCUGACUCCUUGAGAGUCCUGAAGGAACGUUGAAGACGACGACGUUGAUAGGCCGGGUGUGUAAGCGCAGCGAUGCGUUGAGCUAACCGGUACUAAUGAACCGUGAGGCUUAACCUUACAACGCCGAAG
rnacentral:rRNA from 1 species